rnacentral:hammerhead_ribozyme from 1 species
AUCCUGCGGACGUGUCCCGAAUAGGACGAAACUCGCGUCCUGGAU